rnacentral:rRNA from 1 species
GGGGACAACGUUUCGAAAGGAACGCUAAUACCGCAUACGUCCUACGGGAGAAAGCAGGGGACCUUCGGGCCUUGCGCUAUCAGAUGAGCCUAGGUCGGAUUACCUAGUUGGUGAGGUAAUGGCUCACCAAGGCGACGAUCCGUAACUGGUCUGAGAGGAUGAUCAGUCACACUGGAACUGAGACACGGUCCAAACUCCUACGGGAGGCAGCAGUGGGGAAUAUUGGACAAUGGGCGAAAGCCUGAUCCAGCCAUGCCGCGUGUGUGAAGAAGGUCUUCGGAUUGUAAAGCACUUUAAGUUGGGAGGAAGGGCAGUAAGUUAAUACCUUGCUGUUUUGACGUUACCGACAGAAUAAGCACCGGCUAACUCUGUGCCAGCAGCCGCGGUAAUACAGAGGGUGCAAGCGUUAAUCGGAAUUACUGGGCGUAAAGCGCGCGUAGGUGGUUCGUUAAGUUGGAUGUGAAAGCCCCGGGCUCAACCUGGGAACUGCAUCCAAAACUGGCGAGCUAAAGUACGGUAGAGGGUGGUGGAAUUUCCUGUGUAGCGGUGAAAUGCGUAAAUAUAGGAAG